rnacentral:tRNA from 1 species
GGCUCGGUAGCUCAGGGGAAGAGCGGUGGCUUGUUAAGCCGAUGGUCGAAGGUUCGAACCCUUCCCGGGCCU